UUUAAACUGGCUAGUUUGCCUUGCAAACUCAAUUAUUAUAUGCCGUUUCUCAUUGCAUUACGAAACGGCGGAAAUUCAUCAAUGCUCGAUUUUUGAUAAAAUCUGCGCUUGAUGAAUUUAUAA
rfam:Treponema pedis str. T A4, complete genome.